CUAUAGCUCUGAAGAACCCACUAUCCAGGAGGAGACAGAUGGGUGGAUGGAUUGGCCAGAAGCCCACGUGGCGUCUCUGGCUGGAAGAAUUCACUAGAUUUUAAUCUCCAAAGGGACCAGCAUGGCGAAGUGACUGGCUUUGGGUCAGACGGGCCCAGCCAGGACUGGAAUCCUGUACUGGACAAGCAGGGACAGAAGGAGACAAUUCUAGCUGCCCAGGAGCUUCUGAGGCAAGAUCGUGCAGGAGGAAUUUCAGAAUUUACCCAGGCAGGCUGUGGCUCCCUGUACUCCAAUCAGAUCAGUGCCGGAUGGUUAUGUUUCCGUAUUCCUGGUGGGCCCUUGCAGAACCGUUAUUCCUGCCUUCACGUGAAAUCCAGAGCCCAGAGAGAAAGCAGCUUUCAGAGACUGCUGUGGCCAAACCACAGGUACAUACUAGGAAUGCCAGCUGUUGUCUUCAUGCCACUGCAAGCUGGGAAGUGGGAGAUGGUAUCAGGUUCCAGGAGAGAUGCAGUAAACCCAUGGCAGCCUGUCUCCCACUGACUAUAAAACCUGAGCAGGGUGUACGGAACGGCUAUUUGAAGUCUCUGAACAAAUCCACCCAGGGACCGGGAGAGGAGGUCUGUGCCGACCCCCCUCCAGGCAGCCCUGGCCAACCAGAUCCAUUCUCUUGUCCUCUUGGACCCUGGGCACAGACAGAUUCGGCAUCCAGGGUGGCCUGUCAUCACCAUCCGAACAAGAAAACCAGCUCUGGGAACCUGUUCAUCCCAGCCUGAUGCAAGAGGGACUCUGUUGGAGCCUGGGUGAUGGUGGGGCCCCUCGGCCGUGGGUGAAGCAGACAUCCUGGAGUCGGCUUCGAGGCAGACUGGGGGUGCUCCAGGACACUCGGCCGAGGAGCAGAGACCUGGCCAUGUGAAGACUUGACUUCACUCGGAUCUGGAGGUGGAGGAGGAACUGGUGUGUGGACCCGGCUAGGUGCGUAGCCGGUCAUCAGAAGUGCCUGCCCCUUCCCCGACUAGAUGACCAGAGGCCCUGACAAGUUCCACUUAUGUACAAACACACAUUCGCACCCCUACAACGCAUGGGCUUCUGAAAAU